UCAUCUCCACAUUCUAUAAGCCCACUGCCUGGACAUUACAAACGGAAACGCGGUCCAUCGGCUGAUGCAAGACAAAGCUCUGAUGAGUGCCGAGUGAAGAAAUCCAAAAAGAAAAAGAGAAACAAAGAAAAGCACAGGCACUCAGAGAAGGACCCAUCUGAGGGCAAUGAGGAUAGCAGCUCGAAGAGACAUAAGAAGAAGAAAAAAAAGAAAAAGAAGGGGAGAGAGGAUGAGGAAAGGCCUCACACUAGGAGAGACGUCACUCCGAGGCGGGAAGAGCAUGAUUCUAGAGCUAGGAAUGGUACAGAGAGAGGAAGUCAGCACCACAUCUCUGAGUCUCGUCACAAUGUCCACCGAGACCAUAUGGAGGACCAGCAACAGCUCAAUGGACACAAAGCUAAUGGCCUGAGCUGUUACAGUGGAAAUGAACUUGAUCUUUGUCAUACUGGGAUGGAGAAAGACAUGAAAUACAAAUAUUUUGACCACUCUACCACUGUCAACAGCACAAAGACACUCUCAAAUGGAAAUGGAGAUGUGGACGGUGUCUAUCACAGGACCCUUUCAGAUGUUGAAAAAAUCACUCAUCCUCACUAAAGGGAAACUGAUUUCUUGAUCACACCUAAGACUCUGAAAAUCACCCAUGCAAGCAUGUGAAAGACAAAAUCUACAGCUACAGUUCCUGACAUGGUGCUUAACAUUUAGAACAUACUGUAUUUUUAUCACGAGAUGAAUUUUAAAGUUGCUUUAUUUUGUCUUUUGUUUUUCUUUAUUUUUAAGGUUAUGGAUUUUUUAGUACACUGUACAUAAAUGAACUUUGAUCAUGAAAAAAAUUAUAUAUAAAGUUAAUAUAUGCGAUUACAAAAAGCCUGGAGCUUAACAUCAGAAUUGCUGCUCAGACAUAUAGACUCAGGAUUUUCUCACUUGUGAAGAUGAAACAAGCGCUCCCUUUAAGGAAUCAAACCUGGGAAAGACGAGAACAUUUAUAUGCUGCAUCGGCAGAGAAAGACUGCUUGUCUCUUGGCUUCAAGUUAUGAUGUCACCAUUUUCACAUAUUGGUUGAGAGAACUGUCUCAAAGGAGCAGCCUUUGCUAAUGCUAUACGUGCACUUACGUCACAGUUAACCUGGACACACUUGAGGACAUAAGAUGUUUGCUUUGCUGUCUCUUGUACCUCUCUUUUUUAGCAUCUCACUGUAUCAGACCUUUCUAGAAUACAAGUUCAUUGCAUCUUUUUUGUUUUUAAUUCUCACUGUUUAUUUUUCUUGAAUCCGCUUUGAUUUCAGUCAAGAUAAUACUGUGAAUUUAAGUUGAACUGUACUAUCAGUUGUUUGUUUUUGGUCCUGUAUCAGGAGGUUCAGUAGAGACACUUUCAGUAAAGCCACUCGUAAUGUAGACCAUGUUCUCUGAACAUUUCUCAACUUUUUUGUUCUUCAGCAAAACGAAAGAGACGUGAAAAUGGUUAUAUUCAACUUCAUUUUACUGUAGCAUGUCAAAUUAAAUGUAUACAGUGUACAAUAUGUUGAGUGAGAGGAAACGGCCUUAAUGUCUGAAAUUUUAAUAUUUUCUCUCACUGUGUUUACAGUGUUUUGUUGGAGUGAAUGAACAUGUAUGUGAUGAUGGGAAGUGUUUGGUUUUGUAAAGGGUGGGGUUUCCUUUUUACAUAUAAAGAAUGACUUGUGAGAUAUCUGUUUUGUGAAAAAUAUCUUAAUUGAUGUCAAGGUGUGGGAUUUUUUAAGCUAUAUCUCCGCAAUAGGAACACAAACAUCGCUUAAGACAGAUUUAAAUUGAAUGUGCUUCUGCCGUAUACACCAGCAAAUCAGGCUGUAAUGGUCAUUUAUUUGUCUCAAUACCCAAGAGCAGUUAGGCUUGUGGACAAAACAUACUGAAAGCGGCUUAAUAUAAAACCGCACAAAUCAUAUUAAUUGCAAGAUUCGAGUGCACA
rnacentral:lncRNA from 1 species